CCCGCGGCCCUAGUCACGAUUCAGUGACGUCAUGUUCUCGCGUCUUUUUCUCUUGUCCCGCUCCAUAGUGAGAUAAGAGGCUGGACUUUACCAAACGGGACUUGAGAAGGGCGGGGGCGCCUAAGCGCCCCGCGUGUGGCCGGGAAGGUGGAAUCCUUGAAUUGUUAGGUGGGAAAAGGGGCGCAUUUGACUGAGGCAGGGCCUUGGCCUUCUAGUGAGGCUUGAAGUCUGAAACGAAAGGAAAGCGGGUCCGGCAAACCCAAAAACUUGGGCAGGGCUUUGAGGGAAGGAUUACCUGUGGUUUAGGAGACCAGUCCUCUCAUUUGUAACUGCUGAGAGAGUAAAAAAGUCUGCCCAGCCAUUCAUCAGGCUGGAUAGCAGAAUCUGAUAAAGCCUAUUGUAAUGUUACCAGGAAACACUGUUUCAUUCAAGGACAAAACGCAACUGAAAAAUAAGAGUAACAGCCCCCAUCUCUGGGUGAGAACUACAUUCUUCCACUCUGAGAAAUCUCGUUCUUUGAAGUCCAUAUAAGUGAAAUCAUAUGAUACUUGUCUUCCUCUGCCCGGCUAAUUUCACUGAGCAUACCUUCUAGCUCCAUCCAUGUUGUUGCAAAUGCAGUUCCUCCACAGUACCCUGGGACAGGAUGUCUUAUGCAUCUUUCUACAAAAUAAUCUUUCUGCAUUCUCUCUGACCCUGAGACUCAGAAAAUAGGGAGAACAAAAAAGAAACUGCCACCUGUUAACGGUAAGUUUUGGGGGCUUCUUGAACUCAUUUUCAAGUUAGUGUUAAAUUUUAAACCCAGGAGUUUAAUUCAGUUUUUCUUUGUUACAAGCCUAUCAAAACUCUUGCAUUAAAAUUUUUCCUGAAUUCCAUCUUCCCCACAAAUCCUGCAGUAUCUUUUCUUUCCGAAGUGAGACACCCUACAGUUCAUCUGGUGUGCAGUCUUCUUAGUUGCAAUGAAUCAAUAAACCUGACAUUGGAUUGUGUAGGAUCUAAGCAUUCAGUGAAGACAACAGGUUAGCCUGUUAGCCUAAGUACAGCCAUCUUGAGAAGCUCAGAGGCCAUUUUCUGAAUAUGUGACUCAGAAAGGCCUUGAAAAACGAGGUGAAAAACAAGUUAAUCAUAAACACCAGGUGGUGGGCAGCUGCGGCCUUCAGACAGCUAACCUUGGUCAGUUAGUCAUACAUACCAAGCUUAUCUUGCUGAAACACUGUAUGGCUGAGGGUGUUCUUAUCUCGUGAAACCCCUGGGAUGUGGCGCCAACCGAAGAUUUAUGCGUCCUUGGGAAAAAAAACCCUGUUACGUGCUUGUAGAACAAUACUGUCUUUUUAGAAAAUGCUAUAAAAACCUCCAGCUUUGACUGCUCGGGGU